rnacentral:rRNA from 1 species
AUUGAACGCUGGCGGCAUGCCUUACACAUGCAAGUCGAACGGCAGCACGGGGCAACCUGGUGGCGAGUGGCGAACGGGUGAGUAAUGCAUCGGAACGUGCCAUUGAGUGGGGGAUAACGUAGCGAAAGUUGCGCUAAUACCGCAUAUUCUGUGAGCAGGAAAGCAGGGGACCGCAAGGCCUUGCGCUCUUUGAGCGGCCGAUGUCAGAUUAGCUAGUUGGUGAGGUAACGGCUUACCAAGGCGACGAUCUGUAGCGGGUCUGAGAGGAUGAUCCGCCACACUGGAACUGAGACACGGUCCAGACUCCUACGGGAGGCAGCAGUGGGGAAUUUUGGACAAUGGGCGCAAGCCUGAUCCAGCCAUGCCGCGUGAGUGAAGAAGGCCUGG